GGGUAUAUAGCUCAGUGGUAAAGCACAUGCUUAGCAUGCAUGAGGUCCUGGGUUCAAUCUCCAGUGCCUCCA
rnacentral:tRNA from 1 species